GUAUCCCUUCCGGUAAAUGGAUUGCAAGGCUUAUCUUCCUUAUCUUCACUACGGAUUCAAAAUUGUAAGACAUUAGCCUCUUUAUCUGAGGGUGUGGGAUAUCUGACUUCACUCCAAGACUUACUUAUUAAUGGAUGUCCAGAGUUGACCUCAUUGCCAAGGAGUAUCCAACACCUCUCUUCUCUUCGAUAUCUGCAGAUUAGGUGUUGUAGGGGUUUAAUUUCUCUCCCAGAUGAGAUACAACACCUCACCUUGCUUUCAUUAUUGGAGAUUUCGUAUUGCUCUAAUUUGAUGUCAUUGCCCCAAGGGGUACGUAACCUCAAUGCUCUGGAAACACUAAGAAUCAGAGGAUGCCACCCACCUGAAAAGACGGUGUGAGAAAGUGAGAGGAGAGGAUUGGCCCAACAUAGCCCACAUUCCGUUCAUUGACAUCUCUUAGGUGAUUCUCUACUUUUGAAUUUUAAUUUUAAAUAAGAAAAUUCUUGAUUUUAAUCAUAUUCACGAAUUAUGUAAAAAGGAUUUGACAUUUACAUUUUUGUGAAUAAGGAUCUCUGCAUCUGCAGGAUCAUUUCAUUCAUAUCUAUUAUUAAUAGUUUUCAUUUGAUGAAUUUAUGAUAUGAUUGUCUAAAUACAUUUUCAGGAUUGGUGAGUGACAACUUUUGUUAAAUUCGAGGAUCUAUUUUGCAAUUUGAAGAAAAAAGACAACAUUGCAUUAAAUUCGCAGACCAAUUCUAUCCCCCAAUAAGAGCAGGUAUGAAUAAAUAGAUGGCAAAUAAUUUUAGUUUCUAACUUCUUAUGCUCAUCACACGUAACGUUGUUAAACUCUAUUAUGUGUAUGUGCAUAGGCAUGUUAUUGGUCGCUUCGAUGAUAAAGGUUGAGGUGCUGAGGCUUUGAUGUGUCGAGUUUGAAUCACACCAUGUGUAGUUUUUUCUUUAGAUUAUUUUAGACUUAAGUAUUAUCAUAUUGAGUCAUACUCAAAUAUAUGUCCCAAUUUUCGAAUUAUUUAUUGGAACGUAAAUAAUCUUUUAAUAAAAUUAUACGAAAAAUUAUAAUGACAUUUUUUAUUUUAUCACCCUUUUUAAUAUUAUUAGACUUUUCGAAUUCUUUUAUGCACGGUAGGAAGUACGGUGAUUGUCACUACUCGACUCGAGAAAGGCUCUUAUGAUGGCUACAACUCCUUUCUAUCGCUUGGGAUGUUUGUCGGAUGAUGAUUCUUCGUCUUUGUUCAAGCGAAGAGCCUUUGGGAUGGGAAAGAAUGGAAGCAACGCGAACCUGGAAACCAUUGGGAGGCGAAUAGUGCAGAGAUGUGGAGGGGUACCAUUGGCAAUUAAGGCCAUAGGAAGCAUAUUGCGUUUUAGAAGUCAAGAAAGUGAAUGGUUACGCGUCAAAGAUAGUGAGAUAUGGGAUUUGGAAGAUGAGGGAAGCAGAAUCAUAGCUGUGUUGAGGCUAAGUCAUGAACAUCUUCAACCGUAUAUGAGACAAUGUUUUUCAUUUUGCUCGAUAUUUCCCAAAGAUUCUGUCAUGACAAAGGACAAGCUUUUAGCACUAUGGAUGGCAAAUGGAUUUAUUCCUUCUCGAGGACCAUUGGGUUUGCAUGAUAUGGGUUGUGAAAUAUUCUCUGAAUUAACUUGGAGGUCCUUUUUUCAAGAAAUUGAAGAGGAUGUUGAUGGAACUGUUACAUGUAAAAUGCAUGAUCUCAUCCAUGAUCUUGCAACAUCGAUUAUGAGACAAGAGUGCUGUGUGAUUGAGCCAAAUGAGGUGUCACAAAUUCCAAAAACUGCUCCUCACUUGUUUGUUUAUAAUUAUAAUAUCAGUCCAUCGACAAACAUUAUGGACUUAACCACAUUGCAACCGCUGCAAUCUUUGAUCCUAUGAGGCGAUGGUUACUUUAACCACUCUAAUCCUUCCCGUUUCAUUAGUAAACAAAAGUAUCUCAAGGUGUUGCAUUUGGGUUUUUAUAUGAGCAAUAUCGAAUUUAAAAUUUCGAAACACUUGAGGUAUCUGUACCUUCACAAUUCUACUGUGAAAACUUUACCUGAAUCAACAGGCUCUCUUCUUAACUUGCAGACACUAAGCCUCAAAGAUUGUGGCAGUCUUAACAUGUUAUCCAAAGGUACGAAGAACUUGAAAAAUCUUAGGUACUUGGACAUCAGAGGUUGCCAUACACUAACUUCUAUGCCUGUUGCAUUGGGACAAUGUCUUUUUUGCGCAAGCUUAGCAUAUUCAUGUUGGGAAAGAAAGAUGGUUGCGGCAUUGAUGAGUUGAAAGAGUUGGCCCUAGAGGGGGAACUGGGCAUCAAAGGACUAACCAACGUGAAGAGUGCGAUGGAAGCUAAAAAGGCAAAUUUGAUAAAGAAGCGCAAUUUAAGAUCACUUAGCUUAUCUUGGCAAGGAAAUCGCAACGAGAACUCUCAUCAUCAAAAUGAUGGAGAGAUUCUUUUGUGCUCUCCAACCUCAUUCAACCUUGAAGAAGUUACGCAUAAUUGGUUACCAAGGUUUGAUGUUUCCGUAUUGGAUGAUGGAUCUGCUUCUACCAAACCUUGUUGAAAUCUCACUCGGAAACUGUGAAAGAUGCCAUCAGCUACCACCUCUAAGGAAAUUGCGCUUCCUUAAGGUCCUUAAUAUUUGUAGAAUUAGUGCUCUGAAGUAUAUUGACGACACCUUCUAUGGUGAUAUGGAAAGUUCUUUUCCAUCACUCGAGGUUCUCAGCAUACGUGAGGCGCUAUGUUUGGAGGAAUGGACAACAGUGAAUGGUAGAGAACAUUUUCCUCUCCUGAGUUCAUUAACUGUCGAUUGUUGUCCUAAAUUGGUUAAACUGCCAAUGAUUCAAUCUCUAAAAGAGCUACAUAUUGGAGAAACUAAUGUUACUUUACUCACAUCUUUGAUUAUGAAUGCCACUGUUCUUACCUCUCUCCGGAUUAGCGACUUCAACGAGUUACCGGAUGAACUACUAAAAAAUCAAAAGCAACUUGAUAGGUUGAAUGUUUUUUGUUGUAGUCUAAAGUCUUCAUCUGAUCUGCUGGAUAAUCUAUCCUGCCUUAAGCUUGCUCAAUUGAAAGCUUGCCUGCAGGACUUCAAAACCUCAGCUCCUUAGAAACUUUGGAUUUAAAUUUUUGUGACAGCCUUGUAUCCCUUCCGGUAAAUGGAUUGCAACGCUUAUCUUCCUUGUGUUCACUGCGGGUUCAACAUUGUAAGACAUUAGCCUCUUUAUCUGAGGGGAUGCGAUAUCUGACUUCACUCCAAGACUUUACUUAUUAAUGAAUGUCCAGAGUUAACCUCAUUGCCAAGGAGUAUCCAACACCUCUCUUCUCUUCGAUAUCUGCAGAUUAGGUGUUGUAGGGGUUUAAUUUCUCUCCCAGAUGAGAUGCAACACCUCUC
rnacentral:lncRNA from 1 species